UACGGAGGGUGCAAGCGUUGUCCGGAUUUAUUGGGAUUAAAGGGUGCGUAGGCGGCCUUUUAAGUCAGUGGUGAAAGCCCGCGGCUCAACCGCGGAACUGCCAUUGAUACUGGAAGGCUUGAGUACAGACGAGGUAGGCGGAAUUGAAGAUGUAGCUGUGAAAUGCUUAGAUAUCUUCAAGAACACCGAUUGCGUAGGCAGCUUACUAGGCUGUAACUGACGCUGAGGCACGAAAGCGUGGGGAGCGAACAGG
rnacentral:rRNA from 1 species